rnacentral:rRNA from 1 species
AUGGGAACAACAAAACCAAGGAUACAGGAUCUCAUGCCUCUUGUGGACAGGGUUGAAAGAAGGCUGACUGCUAGUUCCUCCAUGCUGAAUCAGGGUUCUAGGCUGCAACUUUUAACCUCUGUUUUAUCUUCUAUGCCAAUUUAUUUCCUGUGCUCAUUAGAUAUCCCUAUUGGUAUUAUCAAGCAGCUUGAAAGUAUUGAGAGGCAAUGCCUUUGGCAUGGUAAUUCUGAUACACCAAGACAAUCCCUAGCAGCUUGGGAUUUGGUAUGUAGGCCAAAAGCGAAUGAAGGACUGGGAGUGAUUAAUCUGCAAAUACAGAACCAAGCCCUUCUGGUAAAGCAUUUGCACAAGUUUUAUAACAAGGCUGACAUACCAUGGGUAUCUCUUAUUUGGGAUUCAUACUAUCAUGGAGUAGUUCCACAGGCCACUGUCUUAUGUGGCGCCUUUUGGUGGAAGCAUGUUUUUAAACUGGCUGAUAAUUACACAGCGGUGGCUACUGUUAUAGUCAAUUCUAGGGAUUCAGUACUGCUUUGGUCUGAUGGCUGGCAUCUUGAUGGAUCAACGAGGCCUCUCCGAGAUAGAUUACCACACCUGUGA